rnacentral:snoRNA from 1 species
AUGGAGAUGAUUAUUAUUUCCCCAAAUGAUCGAUGCUGAAUAAACUAAGCGAUCUUCUCUUUGGAGAUUGCAAGCCACAAAUCUGAUCCAU